AACGAACGCUGGCGGCAUGCCUAACACAUGCAAGUCGAACGAUGCCUCCGGGCAUAGUGGCGCACGGGUGCGUAACGCGUGGGAAUCUGCCCUUGGGUUCGGAAUAGCUCGCCGAAAGGCGAGCUAAUACCGGAUGAUGACGUAAGUCCAAAGAUUUAUCGCCCAAGGAUGAGCCCGCGUAGGAUUAGCUAGUUGGUGGGGUAAAGGCCCACCAAGGCGACGAUCCUUAGCUGGUCUGAGAGUAUGAUCAGCCACACUGGGACUGAGACACGGCCCAGACUCCUACGGGAGGCAGCAGUGGGGAAUAUUGGACAAUGGGCGAAAGCCUGAUCCAGCAAUGCCGCGUGAGUGAUGAAGGCCUUAGGGUUGUAAAGCUCUUUUACCCGGGAUGAUAAUGACAGUACCGGGAGAAUAAGCUCCGGCUAACUCCGUG
rnacentral:rRNA from 1 species